rnacentral:RNase_P_RNA from 1 species
ACAGCAAGCCAUUCUAUCGCGCUUUGCUACGGCAAAGUGAGGAAAGUCCGGGCAGCAAAGGGCACUGUGCUUCCUAACCGAAAGAUCUCCGUGAGGGGAUGAAAGUGCAGAAGAAAAUAACCGCCCCGAUUCGUCGGGGUAAGGGUGAGAAGGUGAGGUAAGAGCUCACCAGGGCUGUAGGCAACUACAGUUGCUGUGCACUCCGCAGGCUGUAAAACCAUGUAAACCAACGCCCGAGGGCGGCCCGCCCGAUGUUGGAGGGUAGGUUGCUAGAGAUUGUCAGCGAUGGCAAUCCCAGAUAAAUGAUAGAAACUCCUGCUCUGCAGGAUGACAGAACCCGGCUUACAGGCUUGCUGUUUAG